UAUAGUCUUUCCUAUGCAUUAGGUUUGUCGCGUAAUGCAUUACCACUUGACAGCCUAUCUUAUGAUGUGUACUCUGUUUACAUUACAGUUGUUUAUUAGUUUACUCGUUUGUUUUGCCACUUAAUUAUGAAAUGCCGGCGCAUAUAUAUUUUCAACAUUUGACAUAACCCUGCAUGUUUUGUAGGGACAACCCAGGACGUGCAGUUCUCGGCACCCAGUCAACUGCCAGAAGUGACUCAAACACAGGCCGCCAGUGGCACUCGCCUGUACCACUGCAGUGCUGCGGAAAUUGCCAGCACCAGCGGCUUUGCAACAGCUGUUUCACAGCAUGUUGGAGACAACGCCUACGAAAUUAUUGGCCCUGAUGACGAGAGCCCUCAAGGGACAAAC
rnacentral:lncRNA from 1 species